rnacentral:lncRNA from 1 species
AACUUAGUAUGUUAUUUCAUGAACUGAAUCAUUAUUGAUAGUAUUAGUAAAGAUUAAGGAGCCAAUAGGCCGUUAUAAGUCUCUGCUGUAUUAUUCUUUAUUUGCACCCAAUUUGUAACAAAAAUAAAAAUAAAAAAUUCUCUGUGCACUUAAUUAUUAAAGUAGUUUUUAAUUUUAAAUUUCUAAUGAAUUUUCGCAUUUAUAAUCGAGCACUCCAGAUCAGAAUGUUCAUUAAACAUUUGAUGCUUCUUAUAUGGUGAUGGUAAAAAACUUCAACU